AACGAACGCUGGCGGCAGGCCUAACACAUGCAAGUCGGACGAGGUUUUCGGACCUAGUGGCGGACGGGUGAGUAACGCGUGGGAACGUGCCCUUUGGUUCGGACAAGCCCCGGGAAACUGGGAGUAAUACCGGAUAAGCCCUACGGGGGGAAUAUUGAUCGCCAAAGGAUCGGCCCGCGUUGGAUUAGGUAGUUGGGGGGGUAAUGGCCUACCAAGCCGAUGAUCCAUAGCUGGUUUGAGAGGAUGAUCAGCCACACUGGGACUGCGACACGGCCCAGACUCCUACGGGAGGCAGCAGUGGGGAACCUUAGACAAUGGGGGAAACCCUGAUCUAGCCAUGCCGCGUGAUCGAUGAAGGCCUUAGGGUUGUAAAGAUCUUUCAGUGGGGAAGAUAAUGACUGUACCCACAGAAGAAGCCCCGGCUAACUCCGUGCCAGCAGCCGCCGUAAUAC
rnacentral:rRNA from 1 species